GGUCAGUACCUGUCCAGCCUUCCAGAAGUUUGAGAGGGCGAAGACGGUGGCGCCGGAGUUGAAGUUGUUUUACCAUGGCACAUGAUCAGGAUGGACCUCAUCGGCUCCUUCACGAAAUCUAGGAAAGGCAACAGCUGGUGUCUGACGGCGACCGAUCACUUUACCAAGUAGAUGGAGGCAAUACCCAUUAAGUUCAGUGAAGGAAGAGAACGUCCUUAACUCUAAAUACCCAUCUGCAACCCAUUAAAAAGGGUGCUUGGAACCAAAAAUAGAUUUUUUUUAUUUUUUAUGAUACAAAACUAGUGAGAGCACCUCCAAGGAUAUGGUGGGCAUCUUCAACACCCACUAUUCUCCUGAGGUCAUCUUGAGUGACCGAGGUCAGGUGAGACUGAACAUGGACAAGGCGCAGGAGAAACAGAAGGAGUGCUACCGGAGCAAAGUCAAGAAGGGGACCAAGUGCUACGACAUCCGGGCAAAUGACUUGGUUUGGAAGAAGAACGAAAGGAAGGCGGAGACCUUGGAAACCUCGCUGCUCCUAGCUGUGGUCACGAUCUGUUAAAGGUUACCUAGGGUUACCUAGGGUUACCCAGGAAGCCAACUAUCUUCUGCAGUUGGACGGUCUACCACUGGAAGCAUUGACGCCCUACACUUCAGUGAAGCCCAAUUUACAAAGACCAUCGACUGUCCGAGCCCCCCAGGAGGUAUCCCAUCUACCAGAACCAGUGAGUUCGGAUCAGUCUGAUUCUCUGUGCUCUGAGUCGGAGGGGGACUAGCUUGAGGUAGGCUACACCUUCCAAAAGUGUUGAAAAGUACAUAUCUCUGUUAAUCCAUCAAAUUUUCUCACAGUAAAGUGUAACCUGUGUGUUUGCUGGUUUAUGUCGGUCUCCUACCAUGUCCCCUUCAACUCUGCUCCUGUUCUCCAAGAGCUAGGGGUUUUGGCCAACACCCAGAUCCACCUGAUGUCCUCCAUUAACAACCAUUCUUUUCAUUACCUCAUCUACAGCUACUGUUGUCAUUACGCCAUCUACAGCUACGGUUAUCAUUAUCUGCUAAGAAAGCUGUCUUGCGCUAUAAUACUGGGCACAUAAUAUGUGAGAGACACAGAUUAACUAAAAACAUUAGCACUGAAAAUCCUCUGAACAAAGCGAACAGCAGUGCCUGGACUUCGCAGUCUCCUUCUUCAAGUCCCCCCUUCUGAGACUGGGUGCCUGUUGAGAACAAGUGACAGGCAGAAUCUCCCACCCACACAGCAACCACCUCCUAUAUUCCACACACCAGAAUUAUGUAUUUAGUCCAUGAUUGCCAUGUGAAAAUAAAUGAAUGACACAACUGUACCAAAAAAUAUCUGUAAGGUAUCCUUUGAUGGUAUUUAUUUGUUCCUCAUUAUUAAUUGAAUGUAGUAAAUCCUGCCGUAGAGAUAGAGUGCAUCUCACAGGUGAGGGCAACGACCUCUUCCUUGAGUCUGAGAGCUGAUCCCUCUUUUGUUCUAGCAAGACCUGUGCUCUUGGGGUAAUUCUCAAAAUGCAUUUUACAUUUUUUUUAAAAGGAAGUGUCAGGGAACAUUAUUUUUUACAUGUAUCUACCCUUUGUGUAGUGACAGUCUCCAUAUAUACUGUACUUCCAUAAAUGUUUUAUACUGGUAUCAGGGGACUUUAUGUAUUAACCUAUCAAGAUCAAAUAUUGUAGUUGGGCAACAUAUGAGAUGUGAAUAUAAAACAUUUCAUUCUAAAGUCGGAGUGUACUUUCUCUUGAUUCAGCUCAAAUAACGGCCGCCAUUGAUUUAAAGAAAUGUUCUGACAUUUUUUUACGUGGUUGCGUCAUAUUUCUUUGCAUACUUUCCAUUGAAGCUUGCAUCAAUGCAUGCUUCAAAAUAUGUACAAACGGAGUUUGCAUUUUGAGAAGUGCCCUCCAUGCUCCAUUUCGCAUGCUUUCAUUUGGAAUCGUACUCCGAUCCUCCCGUGCUCCAAUUUUCGUUGUAUGCAGUGUGAGAAUUACCCAUCGACUUUGACAGACCAUUUACAUUUCUUGAAUCCUUCCUUCCAAAAUUAUUUUGUUCAUUUACUCAAUAUUGAUUUCACGUUUAUUUAUCUUGCUUGGUUAAAAUACAAUACUCUAAAACAGUCAAUUUGUUGAAAACAGACUCCUUUAAUCACGUUAAAACCCAUUUCCUUUUCUUUUGACUGUGUGCUACUACAGGCGGCAACCUGAUCUCAGAGCAUUUCGUAUUAUUCUGUAUGGAUAUUUUUAUGUGAAGGUGGUGAGGCAGUCCUUCGUGGGAAAAUGUUGUCCUCAAACUUUGUAAUCAAAGUCUGUCAUUCUCUGGAUUUAUGGUGUUUUCAAGACAACUGGGAACUCUGAAAAAAACAUGGUUGAAUCAUGAUGACGUCAGUGAUCUUCAGGUCGUAGCUCUAGAAUGAGGCCCGAGUUCCCAACUUACAAUUCCGAGUGGGCCCUUAUAGAAGGGUUCCAGACCUUAGCUGAAUGCCAUGACCGCUCAUUGAACACAUUGCUGGAGCAAUUCCGCGGGUUAUCUGUCAGGCAGCCUACCAUCACGGUAACCUCCCAGCCCCUCAGUAAACCGGCUGUUAGCAGCGCAGCCUCCCCAGCCACCCCGGUUUCCCAGGAACCCCCGCUUACCUCCCCCGAAACGCUUUGCUGGAUAGUCAGGAACCUGUAGGGCAUUUCCCACGCAGUGUUCUCUCAUCAUUGAGCUGCAGCCCUCCUCCUCCCCCUCAAACCGCUCGAAGAUAAUGUAUCUCAUCACGCUGAUGUCCUGGUGGCUCUCAGCUGGGCUACGGUCGUGUGGGAGCAACAGUUGGUCGUAUGCUUCAGUCUGGAGGAGUUUGUGGCGGAGGUGAAGAAGGUUUUUGAUUCUCCAUGGUCCGGGAGAGAGGCUGCCUGGAAGUUACUCCAGCUUUGGCAAGACUCCCGCAGUGUGGCAGACUAUGCAGUGGAUUUCUGCUCAUUGGCAGCUGAGAGUUGCUGGAACCCGGAAUCGUUAUUCGACACGUUCCUGCAUGGAUUAUCGGAGGAAGUGAUGAAUGAGCUAGCAGCCCGGGAACUACCAACGGAUCUCGACUCGCUCAUUGCCUUCGACCAUCCGGAUUGAUAGGCGGCUAUGAGAAUGCAGGAAGGAGGUCCAAUUUCACUCUCCCGCCCAAGGAUUCCACCUCGCCUCUGAGGCAUCCCGGGAGUCCCCGACGUCUGGGUGGCCGAAAGUCUGCCGAUUGACCUCUUCCCGAGCCGAUGCAACUAGGCAGAGCUAGGCUGUUCCCAGCCUAACAUCUACACCGGCUCCUCAUGAAAAGUUGCCUGUAUUGAGGGACUACUGGUCAUUUUGUUUCUUCCUGUCCACUAAAAGACCAGACUCACUGGUAGGGGCGAGUACUCUGGUGUUCCAUACGGAUAACUUUUCCUCUCUCCUUACUCGCACCCCUUUCCAUGCCAUCCGGCUGUGGGGCAACUAGUUGAAAUCUCUCCAGGUACUCAUUGACUCUGGGGCCGAUAAGAGUUUUAUGGACGCUCCCCUGGUGUCCGAGCUGGGCAUCCCCACUCAGCCCCUUUCCAUUCCCAUGGACGUUAGAGCGCUGGACAGGCGCUCUAUAUGCCGGGUCACUCACAAUACCACUCCAAUCAACCUAUGAGUGUCAGAGAAUCAGAGCAAGGCAAUCCAAUUCAUACUAAUUAAGUCUCCUCAGGAUCCUGUGGUAUUAGGAUUCUCCUGCCCUGGGAUGUCUUCCUGUGGGCUCGGAAGUUGGGCCCCUUUACUCCCACCGCACCGACCCUAUAAACUGCCUAUAAACUGCGGGAUCGCCCUUCUCCCAGGCACCACACUGCUCCAGGGAGGACUGUACUCUCGGUCAGGUCCGGAGACCUACAUCAAGGACUCCCUAGCUGCAGGGUGUAUACGUACUUCUGCCUUCCCCGCCAGUGUACAUUGUCUGUAAAUCCCAGCUCGCCUGGUACAUUGUUUGCUGUCACAACCCAUUCGGGAUGCACCGUUUCAGUUUCAAUGACUCAAUAUUUUGAAUAAAAACGGACGACUUGUACCUAAGGCUGGGAAUGUCAAUUACAAUCAAACUAGCAAGGGUAAUGAUCACAAGUCCGUCAUAAUGUGGCUAAUAGGCUAGCACACAUGUGUCAAACAAGGUCUGUGGGCUGAAUAGGACACACAAGCGAGUAUAAAUUAGUCAGCUUACAGCGCGCAGCAGAGUGAAAGUGUACAGACGCAAGCCACAGUCCUAGCUAGGCUACUAAAAUGUUGUAAUCUGACUUUGGUUUUUAAAGCUUGACAAUUAAUAAGCAAAACACAAUUCAACAUAGAAACAUUUAGGCCUAUUAGAGCAACAUUUGAGCAGUAGCCUAGGUUGGCUCUCAAGCACAAUAGCUACAUUUUGAGUUCACCAUACAGCCAUUCAAUCGCACUGUUGAUCCAUCCAGUGCAAGAAAAUGAAACGUGUUUUAAGUUUAAAUGUUUCAACAACCUAUACAGUAGCUACAUUUUUGUAUUUUGAAAUUAUAACAUACUUUUUGAUUAGGUUUGCAACAUAUUAUGCAUAAGGUUGAACAGGCUGAACAAAUAUUAUUUUCCUCUUUUGUUUUAAUAUGUUAAAAUGCCAUAUACAGCAUCCUAUG